rnacentral:rRNA from 1 species
GACGAACGCUGGCGGCGUGCUUAACACAUGCAAGUCGAACGGAAAGGCCCUACUUUUGUGGGGUGAUCGAGUGGCGAACGGGUGAGUAACACGUGAGUAACCUGACCUUGACUUUGGGGGAACUUCAGGAAACUGGGGCUAAUAUCGUAUAGGAGCUCCUGCUCCAUGGUGGGGGUUGGAACGUUUCGGCGGGUGGGGCUGGACUCGCGGCUUAUGAGCUUGUUGGUGGGGUAGUGGCUGACCAAGGCUUGGACGGGUAGCCGGCCUGAGAGGGUGGACGGCCACAUUGGGACUGAGAUACGGCCCAGACGCCUACGGUAGGCAGCAGUGGGGAAUAUUGCCCAAUGGGCGGAAGCCUGAUGCAGCAGCGCCGCGUGCGGGAUGACGGCCUUCGGGUUGUAAACCGCUUUCGCCUGUGACGAAGCGUGAGUGACGGUAAUGGGUAAAGAAGCACCGGCUAACUACGUG